rnacentral:miRNA from 1 species
UUAAAUUUGAAAUUCAGAUAAACAGUGAAUACUUAUCUUUUAGUAUAAAUAUGUCCCAUGCAACACUUGGGACAUACUUAUACUGAAAAAUUAUUUGUUGUUAAUCUAAAAUUUCAUAUAUAAUUGGGUAUCCUGUAUUUU